rnacentral:piRNA from 1 species
UGCUCACUUUGAGGCCAGAUGUACUGCAG